CACAGACAGCAGGGGGAAGGAAAGUGAUCCAACAGCUACUGCUACAGCUACUGCUACCACUACAGAGUGGGGAAACCAGACAGGGUAUACGGAUGGGGAUGCAUACAAAGGUAUGUCAAUUGGUAUUGGUAUGUUAUGCAGAUCACAUUUACCAACCUCCUCCCUUAUCUCUUCAAUGAAUAUCCCAUAGGCCUCUACAUUAUGGAGAAGACUUCACACUCCCUAUACCUCUGAUGAAUAUAACAGGAGACCUGUUCGAUCACCAUGCACUGCUAAAUCAUUGUGGCUGUGGAUAUGGAGAACAUCAACACAUUAACGUCAACACACCAGAGGAUAAACCCAUUGGACUUGGGGCUCUGCUGGAAGUACAC
rnacentral:lncRNA from 1 species